rnacentral:rRNA from 1 species
AACGCGAAGAACCUUACCUGGGCUCGAAAUAUAGAGGACGAUAUCAGAAAUGAUAUUUCUCGAAAGGGUCUUUAUAUAGGUGCUGCAUGGCUGUCGUCAGCUCGUGCCGUGAGGUGUUUGGUUAAGUCCAGCAACGAGCGCAACCCUUAUCGUUAGUUGCCAACGCGUGAAGGCGGGAACUCUAACGAGACUGCCUGGGUUAACCAGGAGGAAGGUGAGGAUGACGUCAAGUCCGCAUGGCCUUUAUGUCCAGGGCUACACACGUGCUACAAUGGUCGGUACAGAAGGCAGCGAAACCGUAAGGCGAAGCAAAUCCCUUAAAACCGAUCUCAGUUCAGAUUGUAGACUGCAACUCGUCUACAUGAAGUUGGAAUUGCUAGUAAUGGCGUGUCAGCAACAACGCCGUGAAUACGUUCCCGGGCCUUGUACACACCGAGACGUA